GAUGAAGAACGUAGCGAAAUGCGAUAAGUAAUGUGAAUUGCAGAAUUCAGUGAAUCAUCGAAUCUUUGAACGCACAUUGCGCCCGCCAGUAUUCUGGCGGGCAUGCCUGUUCGAGCGUCAUUUCAACCAUCAAGCCCCCGGCUUGUGUUGGGGACCUGCGGCUGCCGCAGGCCCUGAAAAGCAGUGGCGGGCUCGCUGUCACACCGAGCGUAGUAGCAUACAUCUCGCUCUGGGCGUGCUGCGGGUUCCGGCCGUUAAACCACCUUCAUAACCCAAGGUUGACCUCGGAUCAGGUAGGAAGACCCGCUGAACUUAAGCAUAUAAUAAGCGGAGGA
rnacentral:misc_RNA from 1 species